rnacentral:sRNA from 1 species
GUAAUAGGCAGUUAAAGAAUAUGGUAUUUUUUUGAAUUUAAGCUUAACCAAUUAUUUCUGUUGCAGGUAUAUGUAAGCUGAAGAAGCAUUUGGUGAGGUAUUGGUAAGCUACGGAGGUGCUUGAUUUGGUAAGUUUCCCUAGCCACAACAACACCAGCUGUGCAGAAGUAUUACAGAAAAGUUGUCCAAGUUUGUUGUGGUGAUGAUUUUCCAACGACGAAUUUGAUCACAUUUACUGGUAUAGACUGUGUUGAAGGUUGCAUUUGGAUGUUGCAUUUGGAUUAUCCACUCAUUGUAUUUCAAUAUUGAGACUUGAAAGUACUAUCAUCUUCUGAUCUUACUCUAUUCAAUCUUGGCUGAAGUGUUCCUUGAAACCUUUCUAAAAAGCUUCACAACUUUCUUGAAUAGGAUGACAGUUUGAAGUUUAUCAUUUGACGUGGUGAAAUUGGUGGAGAAAUUAUCAGCAUUUGAGGAUCAUAUUAAUUGUAUUGAAUCAAUCUUCAUUACAUCAAACAUAAGGCUUCAAGAGGAUUGUUUAGGGGCCAUAGACG